UACGUAGGUGGCAAGCGUUGUCCGGAAUUACUGGGCGUAAAGGGCGCGUAGGCGGAACGUCAAGUUAGGGGUGAAAGGCCUGGGCUCAACCUGGGAACGGCCUCUAAAACUGACGAUCUUGAGUCCGGAAGAGGAUGGCGGAAUUCCCAGUGUAGAGGUGAAAUUCGUAGAUAUUGGGAAGAACGCCGGUGGCGAAGGCGGUCAUCUGGUCCGGUACUGACGCUGAGGCACGAGAGCGUGGGGAGCGAACAGG
rnacentral:misc_RNA from 1 species